rnacentral:pre_miRNA from 1 species
UAUGUACUCCCUCCGUCCGAAAAUACUUGUCAUCAAAAUGAAUAAAAGGGGAUGUAUCUAGAUGUAUUUUAACUCUAGAUACAUCUUUUUUUAUUCAUUUUGAUGACAAGUAUUUUCGGACGGAGGGAGUAGAAA